rnacentral:rRNA from 1 species
GUAAUAUUGGGCAAUGGGCGAAAGCCUGACCCAGCAACGCCGCGUGAGUGAAGAAGGCCUUCGGGUUGUAAAGCUCUGUUAUAGGGGACGAAGGAGUGACGGUACCCUAUAAGGAAGCCCCGGCUAACUACGUGCCAGCAGCCGCGGUAAUACGUAGGGGGCGAGCGUUGUCCGGAAUGACUGGGCGUAAAGGGCGUGUAGGCGGUUCUUUAAGUUUGGAGUGAAAGUCCUGUUUUUAAGGUGGGAAUAGCUUUGAAUACUGGAGAACUUGAGUGCGGAAGAGGUAAGUGGAAUUCCCAGUGUAGCGGUGAAAUGCGUAGAGAUUGGGAGGAACACCAGUGGCGAAGGCGACUUACUGGGCCGUAACUGACGCUGAGGCGCGAAAGCGUGGGGAGCGAACA